ACGCACCCCGCCACGCGUAUGCACGCCCGCUAACGUGUCUAGGUAAUAAUUGAUACGGACUGGAUUAAAAGCGCAAUUUUGCCACGGAUAAUGCCUGUAGUUACUAAAUUAUAUCCGAAGGAGACGAUCGCCUGUUCACCGGAGGAAGCUAUAUAGAGAUCGAUCCGCUUAUGCGUGCAGAAUUUACCCAGCUUCGUAGCUCGCAUUCACGUGCGGGGCGCCGCAGUUAUAAGAAUAACCUGCUGUAUACCGGGACUACUAGCCUAUUUACGAAGUUGCAGCGACACUGCUCGCAUCAGGAGCAGGAUCGCUGGCGGCGACAGUGACACACGCACGUAGCACCCGCAACGUUUCGGGACCUGUGGCCUGACGCGUCAGGGAUUAGCGAGGAUGUAGAUCCGUGUAGGGUCUAUUCACACAUACGCACGGUGAAAACUUAGAGCAGAUGUGACGACACAUAUAAGUUGAACAUGGUGUGGCCGACCCUCAAGUUGCAGGGCGAAUCAGUCGAUUCUUCUACAAAAGGGACUGGUUAGCACAAUAGCAGCAUUCGUUUUGAUAUGGCUGGUCAAGCUACUAUUUCUCAAUAGUAAUAUGUACAUGGAAAGCAAAGGAAAUCAAUGGAAAUUUGAAAGACCCCAACCACUACAACAACGAAAGAAGGCCAUCCUCAUCAGUACGCGCUACCGAUCAGGAUCUACGUUCACGGGCGAAAUAUUCAAUCAAAACGCGGAUGUGUAUUAUGUCUUUGAACCGCUUCACGCACUUGAAAGUAGAGUGACUGACUACGCUAACUUGUCGUUCGAACAAAAGGCCGCAAGGCAGCGAUCUCUUCUCACGAGCUUGUUUUUGUGCAAACCGAAUAAGGACUACCAACCAAUAUGGAAUUUCUUUUCCUUGACUAAACUACUUGACUUUGGUAACACAACUGG
rnacentral:misc_RNA from 1 species